GACGAACGCUGGCGGCGUGCUUAACACAUGCAAGUCGAGCGGUAAGGCCCUUUCGGGGGUACACGAGCGGCGAACAGGUGAGUAACACGUGGGUGACCUGCCCUCAGCUCUGGGAUAAGCCUGGGAAACCGGGUCUAAUACCGGAUAUGACUCCAUGACGCAUGUUGUGGGGUGGAAAGCCUUGUGCGGCUGAGGAUGGGCCCGCGGCCUAUCAGCUUGUUGGUGGGGGAUGGCCUACCAAGGCGACGACGGGUAGCCGGCCUGAGAGGGCGACCGGCCACACUGGGACUGAGACACGGCCCAGACUCCUACGGGAGGCAGCAGUGGGGAAUCUUGCGCAAUGGGCGAAAGCCUGACGCAGCGACGCCGCGUGAGGGAUGACGGCCU
rnacentral:rRNA from 1 species